rnacentral:tRNA from 1 species
CCGAUCUUAGCUCAGCUGGAAGAGCGAAGGACUGUAAUUGAUCAUUAACAUGUUGACAUCCUUAGGUCGCCUGUUCGAUCCAGGCAGAUCGGA